rnacentral:rRNA from 1 species
CAAUAGGGAAUCUUCGGCAAUGGGGGCAACCCUGACCGAGCAACGCCGCGUGAGUGAAGAAGGUUUUCGGAUCGUAAAGCUCUGUUGUAAGAGAAGAACGUGUGUGAGAGUGGAAAGUUCACACAGUGACGGUAACUUACCAGAAAGGGACGGCUAACUACGUGCCAG